CCCAAAAUAAACCCAUCUCUCUCUCUCCAUCUCUAGACCUGCGACGACACCAACGUCAGCCAAAACGGUGACGUUUCCAACCGCGCCGACCUUCUCGCUCUCCGCUCCGCACCAGACCCCUGUAGCUUACUGGUUUUGCCCCAAGACGACGAAGAUGCCCCUUUUCUCUCUACCUUCUUCUUCACACCCAAAUUAAUCACCAUAACCACCACUGAGCUCUCUCUCCAUACCCAACCACCAAUCCCAUUGCAAUCAACACCAAGCCUAAAUGCCUUCAUAUCUUCAUGAAAUUACCCUUUACAUUCUCAGAAAACCCACUUCAUCACUUUAGAUUUACUAGGCCUGAUCUGGAAAUACAUAGUGGAGAAUGAACAACUCUUUCAUUCUUACGAAACUCUGCUCGUCAGCUAACUUCGGCGUCUAAAAACUCCAUCUUCUGUUGCUCAGAUAGUCACGACUUCUUCAUAAAAGUUGUUCAAAAUCGAGUCUUCUAAACUGUCUUCAAAUUUCAUGAAAAUCCAACGGUUGAAUCUUCCAAAAUCAAGUCCCCCUUCGAAAUGGGUCGAGUUCUUCUCUUGAGAUUGAAUUCAAUUCAUGAAGUACUCAUUUCAAUCUUGAGCAAGUUGAAGCCAUCAAGGAGAGAGAGAGGCAAAAGGAGAACAUAUGCAAUCUGGGUACCCCACCCAGCCCAACACCAACGCCGCCCAAGCCGCCCAGCACCCGCCGAAACCCACCUAUCUGCUCUGGGUAUUUGAGUUUUUGGUAAGAUUUUGAUGGGUGAAGUGUUUUGAUUCAAAAUCUCAUUUGGGUAUUUGAGUUUUUGUGAGGUUUUCUAUCAAGAUCGAAUUUUUGGGUUUAUGUUAGUUUUGGGGCACACAUUUUGAUUGGAAUUGGGUCUGGUGUGGUUUGGAAUGAAGAAAGUGAUGGAACUGUAUUUGAUUGAGCUCACUAAGGUGUGAAUGAAUCGAAAAAAAUUGAAUUGAAUUAGGUGAGUUAACGAAAUCCCGAAUCUAGUGAUGAUUCUGGUCAUGGGUAUGCAUAUCCUCAGUCCAGCGAGAAGAUGCUGGAGGAUGAGAGCUUCCGGAUAAUAGAGGGUCUUUAACCAGACGGAGAUCAGGAGAGAUGUGGAAGAAGAAGAGGUAAAAAGAAAAAAAAAAAGAAUAAAAUUAAUUAAAAAAAAAAAAAAAGUAAGUGAGGGUAUAAUAGACUUUUUAGGGGGGAAACGACCGCCACGUCAGCAAGAUAACGGAGACUUUGAUGGAUGCUUGACGGCAGGGACCAAUUGGGAGGAAAUUAGGAGUUUAGGGACUUUUUAGGUGAAAUUCGAAGGUCAGGGACUGAAAUGAUGAAACCCUAUAAGUAUAGGGAGUAAAUAGUAUUUAACUCUAUUUAUAAUUGUCUUAUUGUUUAAGUAAAUCUCUAUUUUGUGUUUAGCCCAAAGUCUAGGUUACUUGACCUAGUGGUAAUAGGGUUACAUUAGAAGGAUCUAGAUUCCUAUUCAAUGUACGAUUACUUUCCUUGUAUGAUUUAGAUUCCAUGCAUUGUAAUCCUCUAUAUAAAGAGGCCCCUAUUAUCAAUGAG